UAGAGGUAAUUUAUUCAUAUUUCAAUUACUUUAGUGUGUAGGUAAUGAUAUACAUGCUAAAAAAAAAAAACUAAAAGAAAAAAAUAGAGAGAGAGAUCUGUCACUAGGUCAGGAAAAGUAAUACAGUAAUGACUCCAUCCUAGAAAAACCAGAUCAACCAGCUUUCCUGCCAAAGCAUAAACUAAACCAAACACAGUGAGGAGAAUAAAAUCCAACAUCUUAUUUCUUUCAAAACUCCUUCUGUUGCAGUAGACAAAAAUAGGUAGGAAAGCAUCACACUUCAUUUUGCAGAAAAUGCACAGCAAUAAGGCUAGUGUUGAAACUGUCAUCAUCAACUGAUGUGUUGAAUUAAAUAUGAGGAAUUAACUUUGUAGCCCUUGGAAUAUAGCUUUCACUAUGCAAACAUUUGUGGAACAUUUGGACUUCCUUAAUUCUCAUGCCCAUGCUCCUAGUUAAUUUGCUAUCAAACCCAAUCAUGAUACAUCAAGCACAUCUAACAACCACGCAGAACUUAUUAUGCAAUUAAAACGCAAGAACUGUUCUUGCAUCUCAGUCCUUCAUACUGUUCUGCAAAAAGACAUUCAUCAACUGCUAGAAGACUAUACAGAGAUCACUGAUAAAGAAAGAACGUAUGGAUAUGACAUGGAUGGGACUCCAGAACACACCACAAAUACCAAUGGAUCAGCUAAAAAGUCAAGUCAAAUGCUUGAAAUGGAAUUAAUGGUCCGAAGUAUAUAAAUGCAUGAUUCUGUUAAAUUUC